CUUUGGACACCAUGGUGAAAAUAUUGCACACAUCUGAGAGAAAAGAAGUCUGAACUGUAGAGAUGCUGACUUGUACAGCAGCAGUUGAGCAAAUAGCAUCAUGAUAUACUGAAGUCCAAGAGCUACUCAAAUUCAUCAUGAAAUAAGGUGGAGCACUUCAUGGGACUGGUAUUCAAGAGAACUUUAAGAAACACUUGGCUAAACUGAAUCACAAGGCUGUGCUGAAAAGAGGAUUAUAAGAGUAAAUACCCCUCUAAAAAAAUCAAACAAUAGCUAAUAGAAGGAAUGGAAGGGUUGGAAUAAAACCAUUCUAAUGUUA